AGUAAGCGACGCCCCAGCCCUGGAAGUAAGUGCCGCCAACCCAGCCCUGGAAGUAAGCGACGCCCCAGCCCUGGAAGUAACAACGCCCCAGCCCUGGAAGUAAGCGACGCCCCAGCCCUGGAAGUAAACAACGCCCCAGCCCUGGAAGUAAACAACGCCCCAGCCCUGGAAGUAAACGACGCCCCAGCCCUGGAAGUAAGCGACGCCCCAGCCCUGGAAGUAAACAACGCCCCAGCCCUGGAAGUAAACAAUGCCCCAGCCCUGGAAGUAAGCGACACCCAGCCCUGGAUUUCGACGACGCCCCAGCCCUGGAUCUAGAGGAUGACCUGGAUGUAUCAACAAGAAAAUUGACAAAAGGCGCCUGGAUCACGGUCACUUAUGGAAAUGAAAAACGUCAAACGGAAUAUGUUGGAAAGGUCUUGGAUAUUGACAGUGAUGCAGACGAUAUCCAUGUACGAUUCAUGCGAUGUCAAGGAAACUACUUCACCUGGCCAAAUGUUGACGAUGUAGCUUGGGUCAAUCUCAGUCAAGUGAAUAAAGUCCUUGGCCAUCCCAUAAUCUCAAUUCGAGACCAGUACAUUUUUGAAUAGACUUGAUUUGAAAAUAACAAUAUAAAUGUUUGGUUAACAGAAAUAUGUUCAUUGUUUUAUAUUUGUUGUUUUUAUUUCACCAUGUAACAUACAGUGUAUCUAGAAUAUCGAUUGUUUCCAUGUUGCAACUGUUAUUAUACAUAUAUCAAACAUCAUUA